rnacentral:sRNA from 12 species
AUACAGGCCUCACUUAGAGGCCUUGCUAUGACCUGGGGAGGUUAGGCAUCCAUUUGGUAGCGACAGCACCCUUCUGGAGAGACGGCAACCAGAGACCGGGCUUGUCAGACCCGGUCGAGAGUCCGUCUU